rnacentral:misc_RNA from 1 species
CCGAGUUUACAACUCCCAAACCCCUGUGAACAUACCAUUUGUUGCCUCGGCGGUGCCUGCUUCGGCAGCCCGCCAGAGGACCCAAACCCUUGAUUUUAUACAGUAUCUUCUGAGUAAAUGAUUAAAUUAAAGCA